CGUUGAAACACCGGUUCUCGUAUGAUCACCGAAGUUAAGCAACGUCGAGUCUGGUCUGUACCUAGAUGGGUGAACUCUUGAAAAUACCAAGUGCCGUAAG